ACGGGAGGCAGCAGUGGGGGAUAUUGCACAAUGGAGGAAACUCUGAUGCAGCAACGCCGCGUGAGGGAAGACGGUCUUCGGAUUGUAAACCUAAGUUGUCAGGGACGAUAAUGACGGUACCUGAAUAGAAAGCUCCGGCUAACUACGUGCCAGCAGCCGCGGUAAUACGUAGGGAGCGAGCGUUGUCCGGAUUUACUGGGUGUAAAGGGUGCGUAGGCGGGUCUGCAAGUCAGACGUGAAAUACCGGAGCUCAACUCCGGGGCUGCGUUUGAAACUGUGGAUCUUGAGUGAAGUAGAGGUAAGCGGAAUUCCUAGUGUAGCGGUGAAAUGCGUAGAUAUUAGGAGGAACACCAGUGGCGAAGGCGGCUUACUGGGCUUUAACUGACGCUGAGGCACGAAAGCGUGGGGAGCAAACAGGAUUAGAUACCCUGGUA
rnacentral:rRNA from 1 species